GGGCCAAUCGUAUAGUGGCUUAUUAUGCUGUCUUAGGGUUCAUUGGGACAUUUAUGACAGAGGUCCCCGGUUCGAUUCCGGGUUGGCCCC